CUCAUCUUCAUCCUCUACACUACUCCCUCUCUCUCUCUCUCUCUCUCUCUCUCUCUCUGAUUCUAAUUAUCAUAUCUAUCCGUAUUCUUCAUGUUGCUUCCUUUAACACACAUUCACAUUCACCCUUCCUCACUCCCUUCAAACCCCCUCACUGUCACUGACCAAUCACCCUUCCCCUUCACCUUCUUCCCCUCACAGCCACCACUCCCCAAAACCCGUUUCCUCAUUCGGACCUCCACCUCAGAUACCCAUACCCUCCCAAAUUCCGCUAUCCAACGCAUUGCCCACAAGCUCCGCUCUCUCGGAUUCGCCGAAGACCCCCAAAACCCGAACCCGAAGCCGAGCCCAAAUGCCGGAGAAAUCUUCAUCCCUCUGCCCCACCAAUUACCCAAACACCGGGUCGGGCACACUCUCGAUUCGAGCUGGUCCACUCCCGAGAACCCGGUUCCGGUUCCGGGCACGGGUUCCGCCAUAACCAAAUACCACCAGCUGAGGCGCGAGGUGAUUAAGCAGAAGGUGAUGCAUAAGAAGGAGAAGAUAGAGGAGAAGAAAGCUCCGACAUUGGCGGAGCUGAGCUUGAGCGAGGCGGAGCUGAGGAGGCUGAGGAGGCUUGGGAUUGAGACGAGGAAGAAGCUAAAAGUAGGGAAGGCGGGGAUUACUGAAGGGAUUGUUAAUGGUAUUCAUGAGCGGUGGAGGCGCUAUGAGGUCGUGAAAAUCGAGUGCGAGGAUCUGUGUAGGAUGAACAUGAAGAGGACUCAUGAAUUAUUGGAGAGGAAAACUGGAGGUCUGGUUGUUUGGAGGUCUGGAAGUAAGAUUGUCUUGUAUAGGGGGGCCAAUUAUAAGUACCCUUACUUUUUGUCUGAUAAAAUUUUGACAAAUGACACCAUGAUUGAUGAUAUACUGGAUCCACACAUUGAUGAUGGUGAACAAAAUGAAACGGAGAGCUGCUCAUCCAGCAUAAUUGGUGUAAAAGCUGCUGCAACAAGUCCAAGCAAAGAAAUAUCUCAACCAAAAUUAAUCCAAGGUGUUGGUAUGCCAAACAGAGUACGAUUUCAAUUGCCAGGCGAGGCAGAGCUUGCAGAAGAAGCAGAUCGCUUAUUAGAGGGGUUGGGCCCACGAUUUACUGAUUGGUGGGGUUAUGACCCUCUCCCUGUUGAUGCUGAUCUUCUGCCUGCCAUUGUUCCUGGAUACCGGAAGCCUUUCCGCCUUCUUCCCUAUGGUGUGAAGUCUGUAUUAACAAAUGAUGAAAUGACUACAUUAAAAAGACUUGGUCGACCCUUGCCAUGCCAUUUUGCAUUAGGCAGAAAUAGGAAUCUUCAAGGAUUGGCUUCUUCCAUUGUCAAGCUCUGGGAGAAAUGUGAGAUUGCCAAAAUUGCUGUUAAGAGAGGGGUACAGAACACUAAUAGUGAAAUGAUGGCUGAAGAGCUGAAGCGGCUGACUGGAGGAAUAUUACUUUCCCGGGAUUCAGAAUUUUUUGCCCUAUAUCGAGGGAAAGAUUUUCUGCCACCUGCAGUUUCUUCUGCAAUAGAAGAGCGGAGGAAAUAUGGAAUUCAUGGAGAGAAAGAAAGGACAAGAUGUAGUACAUCAGUGACAACUGUACAGGAGCCUAAACUUGAUACUGCAGAGUGUAGUUCUGAAAGUGAACCUGAUGGGGGCAAUAAUGUGGAAAGGGGUCUCCUUUUCAAACAAAGAAAGCUAAGGUCCACUGAGGCAGCUGUCAAAAGAACUAGCAUCAAAUUGUCGAUGGCACUAGAAAAGAAAGCAAGGGCUGAGAAACUUCUAGCAGAGCUUGAGAAAGAAGAGAUCCCCCAACAACCUGAAAUAGAUAAAGAAGGUAUAACUAAAGAAGAAAGAUAUAUGCUAAGGAAGGUUGCCUUGAGAAUGAAGCCUUUCCUACUAAUGGGUAGGCGAGGGGUUUUUGAUGGAACAGUUGAAAACAUGCAUCUUCACUGGAAGUACAGGGAACUUGUGAAGAUAAUAUCUAAAACCAGAAGCAUUGAAGCUGUUCACGAAGAAGCACGGACAUUAGAGGCAGAAAGUGGUGGAAUAUUAGUGGCGGUUGAGAGAGUGAGCAAGGGUUAUGCAAUCGUUGUGUAUCGUGGGAAGAAUUAUACACGGCCUGCUAGCCUAAGGCCUCAGACACUCCUAAAUAAAAGAGAAGCAUUGAAACGCUCUUUAGAGGCACAACGCCGCAAGUCUCUGAAACUCCAUGUUUUGAGCCUUACCAAAAACAUAGAUGACUUGAAACUUCAGUUGGAUAAAGACAAGGAGGCAAACAAUGUUCUGCCAGCUGAUGCAUUGAAUUAUAAAUUGGUGAAAGAGGAUAUGAACAAUAUGCAGGCAACUGAAUGCUUGAGAUCACAUGUGGAACAUAAUUCCAGUCCUCUCUCUCACUCGGUAAUUCCUGCUUGCUAUGAAGAGAAUAAUGUAGAGGCUGAGGACAAACAUGGAGCUCAAUUAACUCUCAUGAACUUAAAUGAUGGCAUGGAUGCUUCAAUAGACAAUCCACAAGCCACUCAACAAGAUAAAGUGCUUGGCCUCUCAUCAACAUUUAAGGGGGAUGGGACUGGUAAAAUUGAAGCUGGAUUUUCAUCUGAAUUAGUUAGUAAAGAACCCCAUGCAAAAUUGUGCAAGGAUAUGAAUGGUGAAGUUGAAACUGCUUUCUCUACACCUUGCCCUGAUAAUUUUAUGUCAGAAGAAACAGGCUCUUCUGCAGUAGUUCAGCAUUGUGUUUAUGAUAACAAUGCAAUAGAACCAGCUAAGUCGGCAAAAAUUGAUUUGAAACCGGUUCCAAUAGCAGUGGAAAAUGGAUCAGAGAUGCCUCACAGAGCUGUACUUCUUUCCAAUAAAGAGAGGCUUCUUUUACGAAAGCAAGCCCUGAAGAUGAAAACUCGCCCCGUACUGGCAGUAGGGAGAAACAACAUUGUCUCUGGUGUUGCAAAAGCAAUCAUGGUUCAUUUCAAGAAGCAUCCUCUUGCUAUCGUGAAUGUCAAAGGUAGAGCAAAAGGAACGUCAGUCCAGGAGGUGGUUUUUAAGCUGGAGCAAGCAACAGGUGCAGUUCUUGUCUCUCAAGAGCCUAGCAAAGUCAUACUUUACAGGGGUUGGGGGGUGAGAGAUAUACCUGGGCAUGCUGAAAAGAAGAAUAUCAUUGAUGGUGGGAAAGAGGGUGGAACUCGGCCAAAUGUCUCUCCUGAACUCUUGGCAGCAAUCAGAAUGGAGUGUGGGUUGCAGGGUAACGUAAAGGAAGAGACAACUCUAUAACUUGGAAUUGAAGCUUGUAUCCAUGGUAGCGCUGCCAUCCGCUGUCCCAUGAUUCUUGUCCAUAUUAUUUAAUUUUGGGAUCAUACCAACUCAUCAUAUAUUCAAUUGUCAGCACAUUUUAACUAGGAGGGACAUACACAGAGAUACUUUCCAUAUCUCUGAACAGCAGUUACAAUCCUAAGGUAUGUUGGCCUGAUUUCCACUGUAUGCUUCUGUCUGCUUUCCUCUUUUGGUACAGUAAAUCUAGAAACAAGAUGGAGAGGUGACAUCUUCGAAAUCAAGGUCUUUAUUCGUUAUUUGCUGUAUUUGAGUGUGCCCUCCGUAUGUAUACUGGUCUUCUGCUGCAAGGAGGGAAAUACUCUAGUGACAUCUCAGUCGAUAUUGUAAUAUAAGAAAUUCUUCAGCAAUAGCCAAUGACCUCUGGCUUUAAUGGCUCUUUUCUUGCAAAAGCAACAUCAUGAUGGAUUCAAGGCCCAUAGGAUCCGUAUGUAUUUACUAGUUUUAAAUAACAAUAAUAAAUUCUUGGGGCAUACCUAGAAUUGGUUCCA